rnacentral:lncRNA from 1 species
GGGAGGCAGACACACAUAGCCCAGGUUCCUUAAAAAUAUAAAAACAUGAUAACAUAAAAAUGUAGUUCACUCCAAAUUGCAUGUAGGCAAACAAAUGUUUAUCUUGAAACCCUGUCAUUUACCCUAUAAAUAGGGCCCUCCCGCAGAUGGUCGGCUGGAAGUCUCACCUGAGGGGAGGACUCUGCCAAGGCCUCUUAAUGGGGACUCCCACCUGGCUGUCUCCAGGGGGCUUCCCCAGCUGAUAAGGUUGGAUGUUCAUAUUUUCCUGGGGUCUUUGCCACGAUUUUAGUAUUUUACUUGCUUCUUCAUAUACUCUUACCUGGACAAAAUGACAAGGCAGAAAAUUUCACCACAAAAAAAAAAAAAGAACAAGAGGCAGUACCGAAAGCUAGGGACCUAAUCAAUACAGAUAUUGGUAACAUGUGAGAUCUAGAGUUCAAAUUGACGAUUCUCAAGGUUCUAGCCGGGCUCGUAAAAGACAUGGAAGAUAUUAGAGAAACCCUCACCAGAGAGAUAAAAGCCCUUUCUGGAGAAAUAAAAGAACUAAAAUCUAACCAAGUUGAAAUUUAAAAAGCUAUUAAUGAGGUGCAAUCAAAA